CCUACGGGUGGCAGCAGUGAGGAAUAUUGGUCAAUGGGCGCAAGCCUGAACCAGCCAAGUAGCGUGAAGGAUGACUGCCCUACGGGUUGUAAACUUCUUUUAUAAAGGAGUAAAGUGAGGCACGUGUGCCUUUUUGUAUGUACUUUAUGAAUAAGGAUCGGCUAACGCCGUGCCAGCAGCCGCGGUAAUACGGAGGAUCCGAGCGUUAUCCGGAUUUAUUGGGUUUAAAGGGAGCGUAGAUGGGUUGUUAAGUCAGUUGUGAAAGUUUGCGGCUCAACCGUAAAAUUGCAAUUGAUACUGGCAGCCUUGAGUACAGUAGAGGUAGGCGGAAUGCGUGGUGUAGCGGUGAAAUGCUUAGAGAUCACGAAGAACUCCGAUUGCGAAGGCAGCUUACUAAACUGCCACUGACAUUGAGGCACGAAAGUGUGGGUAUCAAACAGGAUUAGAUACCCCUGUAGUC
rnacentral:rRNA from 1 species